rnacentral:rRNA from 1 species
AUACGUAGGGUGCAAGCGUUAAUCGGAAUUACUGGGCGUAAAGCGUGCGCAGGCGGUUUUGUAAGACAGUGGUGAAAUCCCCGGGCUCAACCUGGGAACUGCCAUUGUGACUGCAAGGCUGGAGUGCGGCAGAGGGGGAUGGAAUUCCGCGUGUAGCAGUGAAAUGCGUAGAUAUGCGGAGGAACACCGAUGGCGAAGGCAAUCCCCUGGGCCUGAACUGACGCUCAUGCACGAAAGCGUGGGGAGCAAACAGGAUUAGAUACCCUGGUAGUCCACGCCCUAAACGAUGUCAACUGGUUGUUGGGGAUGUAUUUUCUCAGUAACGAAGCUAACGCGUGAAGUUGACCGCCUGGGGAGUACGGCCGCAAGGUUAAAACUCAAAUGAAUUGACGGGG